AUUGAACGCUGGCGGCAGGCCUAACACAUGCAAGUCGAACGAGUGGCGGACGGGUGAGUAAUGUCUGGGAAACUGCCCGAUGGAGGGGGAUAACUACUGGAAACGGUAGCUAAUACCGCAUACCAUCGGAUGUGCCCAAAUGGGAUUAGCUAGUAGGUUGGGUAAGGGCCCACCUAGGCGACGAUCCCUAGCUGGUCUGAGAGGAUGACCAGCCAAACUGGAACUGAGACACGGCCCAGACUCCUACGGGAGGCAGCAGUGGGGAAUAUUGCACAAUGGGCGCAAGCCGGAUGCAGCCAUGCCGCGUGUAUGAAGAAGGCCUUCGGGUUGUAAAGUACUUUCAGUGGGGAGGCGUUACCGACAGAAGAAGCACCGGCUAACUCCGUGCCAGCAGCCGCGGUAAUAC
rnacentral:rRNA from 1 species